rnacentral:rRNA from 1 species
UCCGCCCGCUGGCGGCGUGCCUAAUACAUGCAAGUUGAGCGCUGAAGGUUGGUACUUGUACCAACUGGAUGAGCAGCGAACGGGUGAGUAACGCGUGGGGAAUCUGCCUUUGAGCGGGGGACAACAUUUGGAAACGAAUGCUAAUACCGCAUAAAAACUUUAAACACAAGUUUUAAGUUUGAAAGAUGCAAUUGCAUCACUCAAAGAUGAUCCCGCGUUGUAUUAGCUAGUUGGUGAGGUAAAGGCUCACCAAGGCGAUGAUACAUAGCCGACCUGAGAGGGUGAUCGGCCACAUUGGGACUGAGACACGGCCCAAACGCCUACGGGAGGCAGCAGUAGGGAAUCUUCGGCAAUGGACGAAAGUCUGACCGAGCAACGCCGCGUGAGUGAAGAAGGGUUUCGGAUCGUAAAACUCGGUUGGUAGAGAAGAACGUUGGUGAGAGUGGAAAGCUCAUCAAGUGACGGUAACUACCCAGAAAGGGACGGCUAACUACGUG